rnacentral:tRNA from 1 species
GCCUUCGAGGUGUAACUAGAAGCGCACUCGACUUGUAUUCGGGAGGUUCGGGGUUCAAAUCAUGGCGAGGGCA